GUUUUCAGGUCGGUAAGUAGCGUCUAACUGAAGGCUUUGCUAAGUCGCGUGUUUCUUAUCUUACGUUAUCGAGUCUAACCACGUGGUUCUUGUCUGAGGCUGCAGCGACUAUUACUACUAAAGAGAAAAGGAUUAAAGAUUACUAAACGUAAAUAACAGUUAUGUUUCUCCCUUUCUUUGGAUUGAGGUGAUCAGUUUCUUCAGAAAGGACAAUAUAACUCAACCCCAGCUUUCGUAGUUACUGCAGAAGGGUGUGGUAACUGACGAGCACUCUUUCUCGCCGGGUUGGGGGUGGGUGACCAAAUCGCUUAAGUUUCUUACAGAUUUUUAUAUUUUAUUGUAUUGAUAAAAUAAAAUAAUACAUUUGCAUUCUGAAGGAGGAAAUAAACGACUGGGACAGCUAUAGCGAUAUUAUAUGGCGACGCAUGUAAUACAGUCGGAUAACAUAUACUUAU